UGAUGGUGUUGCCUAGGACACAAAUGCUUGAAAUCAGAGAUGAUGCAAAGGAUGAAAGAAAAUAAUGUUCACCAACUAAGCUAUCCAAAAACCAAUGUUUCAUAUAAAACAAAAUAGAUAAAAGCAAAGGAAAAAAAUAGAUUUGUAGAGGCGGUGUUCGGUAACAAUGGAAGGCACGAAAACAGGUGAACGGAGAGGAAACUCUUUGUGGCAACGACUAAAUGAAGAGUGCACGUGUUUAUCUAUAAAAACAACAAGAAAAAAUGCGAGAAACAGAGAAAAAAUGGAGGUUUUGGUGCAGUGUCAGUGGCGGCAGAGUGG
rnacentral:lncRNA from 1 species